rnacentral:rRNA from 1 species
GAGGCAUCUCAGAGCUUGGAAAGAAUUUCGGUGAAGGAUGGGCUCGCGGCCUAUCAGCUUGUUGGUGAGGUAAAGGCUCACCAAGGCGACGACGGGUAGCCGGCCUGAGAGGGUGACCGGCCACACUGGAACUGAGACACGGUCCAGACUCCUACGGGAGGCAGCAGUGGGGAAUAUUGCACAAUGGGCGCAAGCCUGAUGCAGCAACGCCGCGUGAGGGAUGAAGGCCUUCGGGUUGUAAACCUCUUUUAGCAGGGAAGAAGCGAAAGUGACGGUACCUGCAGAAAAAGCACCGGCUAACUACGUGCCAGCAGCCGCGGUAAUACGUAGGGUGCAAGCGUUGUCCGGAAUUAUUGGGCGUAAAGAGCUCGUAGGCGGUUUGUCGCGUCUGCUGUGAAAACCAGAAGCUCAACUUCUGGCCUGCAGUGGGUACGGGCAAACUAGAGUGCGGUAGGGGAGAACGGAAUUCCUGGUGUAGCGGUGGAAUGCGCAGAUAUCAGGAGGAACACCGAUGGCGAAGGCAGUUCUCUGGGCCGUUACUGACGCUGAGGAGCGAAAGCGUGGGGAGCGAACAGGAUUAGAUACCCUGGUAGUCCACGCCGUAAACGGUGGGUGCUAGCUGUGGGCCACAUUCCACGUGGUCCGUGACGAAGUUAACACAUUAAGCACCCCGCCUGGGGAGUACGGCCGCAAGGCUAAAACUCAAAGGAAUUGACGGGGGCCCGCACAAGCGGCGGAGCAUGCGGAUUAAUUCGAUGCAACGCGAAGAACCUUACCAAGGCUUGACAUAUAGAGGAAAAGUACAGAAAUGUGCUCCCCGUAAGGUCUCUAUACAGGUGGUGCAUGGUUGUCGUCAGCUCGUGUCGUGAGAUGUUGGGUUAAGUCCCGCAACGAGCGCAACCCUCGUCCUAUGUUGCCAGCACGUUAUGGUGGGAACUCAUGGGAUACUGCCGGGGUCAACUC